rnacentral:rRNA from 1 species
AGGUGCUGCAUGGCUGUCGUCAGCUCGUGUCGUGAGAUGUUGGGUUAAGUCCCGCAACGGAGCGCAACCCUUGUCCUUAGUUGCCAGCAUUUAGUUGGGCACUCUAAGGGGACUGCCGGUGAUAAGCCGAGAGGAAGGUGGGGAUGACGUCAAGUCCUCAUGGCCCUUACGGGCUGGGCUACACACGUGCUACAAUGGUGGUGACAGUGGGCAGCGAGACCGCGAGGUCGAGCUAAUCUCCAAUUGCCAUCUCAGUUCGGAUUGCACUCUGCAACUCGAGUGCAUAAAGUNGUUAUCGCUAGUAAUCGCGGAUCAGC